UCUAGCAUAGGUCCUGGGGCAGAAUGGAAAAUAAAGCUGGCUCUGACAUCCCCUUUGCGGAGGAAGUGAAAUGCAGCAUCUCUUCUCAGAACUAGGACUGGAGGUGGUGACAUCUCAAGAUUGAGGAGCUCAAGGUACCUUAUGAAGGUUUUAAUAAAUCUUACUUAAUAAAUGUUGACGCUGGAGACCAAGUUAAUAUGUUCUUAGGAUAAAUUGACGAGUCACUGCAACUUAGUUAUUUUGGGCUAGGUGAGCACCAGGGCCUAGCUGAAAAGUAGCUCAUCUAGUAAUUGCUAACAGGCCUUACCUGGGAGGAAGUCAGGCAAGGCUGUUGUUACUGUUUCUCCUUUCAAGACAUUUAUUCCUUCACCAUAGCAUUCUUUUUUUCUUUGUUUUGUAACUUUCUGUAACUUUCUGUUUUGUCCUGUCUUGUCUCUGCCAGAUCUAUUUUAUCAGUUUCUGCCCUCUUCUAUUGAAAUGUUGCUUUGCUGCUUCUGGGACUUCUACACCAUUAUGCUUUCCUGUUCCUGCUGUUCUUUCUACAAAUCCUCUGAAAAGACCCUUAGUUAUGGAAAAGUUCAAGAGAGUAAAUCUGACUGUUUUAUGGUUUUAGCUGGAGCCCCUGCGAGGGAAGACAUAGAGAUUUCUCUUUCAGAAGCACCAAGCAGCUUGCAUGCUGCUCUCUUCAAGUCAGGAUUUCCAACAUUUCUAUUUGCACAAAAGUCAAUAAAACUGGUUGUGUUAUGAACAAGCAAAUCCGAGUGUCCUAUUUUAAAAAAAUCCAUGAUUCUUUGGACUACCCAUUCAACUGAAUUUGGGUCACGAAUUAUACCCAC